ACGGAAGGCAGCAGUGGGGAAUAUUGCACAAUGGGGGAAACCCUGAUGCAGCAAUGCCGCGUGAGUGAUUGAAGUAUUUCGGUAUGUAAAGCUCUAUCAGCAGGGAAGAAAAUGACGGUACCUGACUAAGAAGCCCCAGCUAACUACGUGCCAGCAGCCGCGGUAAUACGUAGGGGGCAAGCGUUAUCCGGAUUUACUGGGUGUAAAGGGUGCGUAGACGGUUGUGUAAGUCAGAAGUGAAAUCCCGGGGCUUAACCCCGGUGCUGCUUUUGAAACUAUGCAACUAGAGUGCGGGAGGGGCAAGCGGAAUUCCUGGUGUAGCGGUGAAAUGCGUAGAUAUCAGGAGGAACACCGGUGGCGAAGGCGGCUUGCUGGACAGUAACUGACGUUGAGGCACGAAAGCGUGGGGAGCAAACAGGAUUAGAUACCCUGGUA
rnacentral:rRNA from 1 species